AACCCGCCAUAUCUUCAACCCACCUUCCAUCAUCUCUCCCAGAAUCUCGUAUCUUCAGUUUUCAUCAUCAUAUUUCCCAUAUCUUGAUUCAACUGUUCAUAAUCGUUGCUACUACUAUCCAACAACGCUUAGCAAUUCAUCUUCCAGAAAGUUAUCAUGAGCAAACACGAAGCUACCGGAAAGAAGGAACAACUAAAGUGGACCGACUAUAGACUAUAUGGACGAGCUAUUCAUACAAUCCAUGAUAGCGCAACAGAAUAAAGGCUAUAGGAUUAAUGGCACUUUUACAACACAAGCAUACAACAAUAUGAUUGAGGAGCUGAGGACAAAGCUUCAAAUUGAUGUUACCAAAAAACAUUUGAAGAAUCAUUUGAAGACAUUGAAAGACCAUUUCUCCCAAUGGUACGAUAUGUUUCGUGGUACGUCGAUGAGUGGGUUCUCAUGGAAUUCAGAAACUCAAUUAAUUGAAGCGGAAGAUGAAGUGUGGGAUCAACUAAUAUACUCGAAGCCUGAAGCUGCAGUGUUGAAGAUGAAGAAAAUCUCAAACUUCAAUGAAAUGCUAGAACUGUUUGCAAAGGAUAGGGCAUCCGGUGCACAGGCUGCAACCGCUAAAGAAACGGUUCGCGUCGAAACGGUACGGGUCGAUGCGGUUCGCGUCGAAACGGUACGCGUCGAAACGGUUCGCGUCGAAACGGUACGCGUCGAAACGGUUCGCGUCGAAACGGUACGCGUCGAAACGGUACGCGUCGAAACAGUACGCGUCGAAACGGUUCGCGUCGAAACGGUAAAUUGCUUAUUCUAUCGUCUUCUGUAACAUAUGAUCUUGUGAUGCCUUUAAAGAGCUUAACUGUGCUAAAUUAUUAUCAACUACUGAUGCUUUGUUUAUGAAAAUGCAAUAUCAUAUAAGAUGGUCAAACUUAAAGAACUAUGUUAAAUUGAGGAUGCUGGUGACUACAAGAAUCUUUGCCAUAUUAUUCCACAAGUUUAGGUUGGUUGAAAUUGUUGGUAAUUUUAGUGUUAUCAACAAUUUUAGGAUAUUGGAUUAACUCGUUGAUAGAGGAUAUAACAUUGGACAUUGAACGAGUUAGGUGCCGCGGGAGUGCGGGCUCGAUUUAAUUCUAAUGUUAUUUGAGUUUUAUAUAAAUAUCCUUUUGGGCUUAAUGAUUUUAUAAUGGUCAUAGUGUUUUGAAACUAAAGUUAAUUAAUUUGUUUUAGCUUAUUAAUGGUUUAGAAAUGUUUUACUUUAGUUUACUAAGGAACUAGUUUUGGUCGGUUGUUUUAAAAGACCCAUUACUAUCAAAUAAUGGCCAUGUAAUCCAAUUGGCUGUAACUUUGGUUGGAGAGUUAUUCAAUGCCGGCUGCCCACUUCUGAAGCUUUGAGUAAAAGGAAGAUCAUAAACGGUCCAACCGGGUGUUAUCUAUGCUGGUCGGAUGAGGAGACGGUAAACCAUCUGUUUACAGGUUGCAUCGUGGCGAAUUUGGUUUGGCAGGAAGUAUCUAAGUGGUGCAACAUACCACACAUCUUUGCUUUCUCAAUAGGUGACCUGCUAAAGAUUCAUAAGCAUAUUCCGGGGAGCGAGCAGAAGAGGAAAAUGGUGCAGGCUGUGAUCUUGUUAGGCUGCUGGAGCCUAUGGAGGGCAAGAAACAACCUUGUUUUCUCAAAUAUCACGGUUAGUGUUAAGGAUAUUAUUGGUGAGAUGAAAUCCUUGGGCUUUUUGUGGCUGAAACAUAGAGCUAACGGCGAGACUUUAACGUGGGAGAAGUGGGAAAAAAUCGAUGUAUAAUGUCUUGUUUUGUUCUCGGUUUCUCUGUUGUAUGGCCCGGGCCCCGCUAGCGCCUUGCUAAUGGGGUUUUCGGUUUUGUUGUUAA